GCGCCGGUGGUGUAAGGCGAACAUCGCUGCUUGGAACGCAGAAGAUGCGGGUUGGAGUCCCGCCUGGCGCA
rnacentral:tRNA from 1 species